rnacentral:tRNA from 1 species
AUUUCUUUAGUAUAACUAGUACAAUUGACUUC